ACUUAAGUAGUUUAAGCUUAGAACAGCAAUUUGUGGGAUUGUUAGUGCAGAUUAUGCCUUAAGUU
rnacentral:tRNA from 1 species